GGUGGUAUGGUCUAGUGGUAUGACGUCACGUUGUGGUUGUUUCAUUAUAACUUCAAAUCCGUGCCAGCCUGGGUUCGAUUCCCAGUACCGCCA